AGUGUAACAUACUUUUAAAUGGAGUGCUCAUUUUUUUCGGUCUGUUAACAGUGGUAUAAAGUAACUGAAGACAUGAUGUGUUGUUGUCCUAUGUCGCCUUCAUUCUUACCAGGAUGGGUGUGGAUCCGAUCCUCUGAUCCGAAUCGGCCUUUAUACACAAUCUCAAGGUCUUUCACUGGCUCAUGGCUAAACCCUAUCCCAGCAUGCCUAAGAAAGCUCCCCAGAUCUCUUUUUGCCACUAAACAAGAUUGGGUGCUCGUUCUACUGGCUCUGGCUAAGUAUACUCUUUUUAUAAUCGCUGUUGUUGGAAAUUGCCUAUUCUUGCUAUGUUAUUGAUCUAGAUACCUAGUUAUUAUGCUAGUUAUUUCUGCUUUGUUCUGCUGUUGGCCGCCGUCUUCCACCUAAGCAUUAUCGUCCCUAUCCUGGCCUCCUCCUUAAGAUUAUCUAUAGCCUGUUUAAGUUAGGGAGGUGUUCUUUCUCUUGUUUUCUCUUUUAGGAAUUGUUUAUGGUCAGUUCAUUUAAAUUAAAGAACUGCCUUACCCUUAGCCUGUUUAAGUCAGAGGGCUGCCCCUUUUCCUUUCAGUCUGUUCGGGCAUAGCCCGUUUAAGUUAGAGGGCUGUGCCCUCCCUUUCAUCCUCUGUAUCUCCUUUUUAUAGUUAAGUUUUAAUGUUAGCUUGUUGUUGUUAAAAAAAAAAAAAAAAAAAAACUUCCCUAGCUACUAUCCCAUUCUUUCAGGAUGUCUUCUAAAUAUUCGAAACCUUCUGGUUUCAAAAAAUGUGAAAAAUGUGGACAGAAAAUAUCCCUUACUGAUAGACACACAAUUUGUGUCUACUGCCUAGAAGCUGUCCAUCUCCAGGAGUCUUGUUCCAUUUGUCAUCCCUUUAAUCACAGGGCUCUCCUGGAGAGGAAAAACAAAUUGAUACUGAGAGGUCUCUUUAAAAAAAAAAAAAACCUUCUCAGAAGCAGUACAAGAAUGUCCGGGUUUAUCAAAGUCCGACCAAUCUCCAUCUUCAAAAUCUGACAAGUCUGGGAAGAGAUCUUCCUUUUCUAGUGCUCCAUCGGAGCCUUCAAAAAAGGUUGCCAAAAUUUCGACACCGGAUCCCAAGUCUGUCGAAUCCAAAAAAUCUACAGCUCCAGCACCAUCAGUGUCAGUGCCGACAGAGUUUGAGUUGCAGAGUCAGUUCCCUGUCUUGGAGACAUUCUCCCCAACUCUAAGAUCAGUUAUACUUCAACCUUCCAGUUAUACUUCAACAUUU